ensembl:lncRNA
UUUUUUUUUUUUUUUUUUUUUUUUUAACAUUGCUAGGUUUUAACACACAGGAUGUGUGAGAAACGGACAAUUAAUAGAGACCACAGGGUUGGAAGCCUGAAGUAUACAUAAUAUUGACAGUUUAUGAAAACGUAAGCAUCAUAAGCUGCAGGACGGUAACAGAGACAGUGCAAAUUUGCUGUUUCUCGUCACCGUAGCUUGUGUAUGUACUGCAGAAAAAACACCAGAGUGGCAUACUUCGUACAAUGUAAAGUUUUGGUGAUUAAUUUGAUGUUUUUUUAUUAUUAUUUAGAAAUUUAUUUACACCACCUGAUACUGUCCUUUCAUUGACAUUAAUUCUACUUUAAUCUAUUUUCCCAUUAUUACAAAGCAAGUAAUGUUAAAGGUUAAUGUUAAAAGAGUAAGAUCAAUCUUAUAAUGACUAGGCCAACUCAAAUUUUUUUUUUUCCACAAUAAUUUUUUCAUUGUCAGCAAAAUUGAUCAAACAACCUAUUUGAUUUCUCUCUUUCCAUGGCUACGGGAUUAACACAGAUUAUUUAUCUAUAUCUGUACUUAUUUUUCCAGCUUUUUUUGUUUUGUCACCCUAAAACAUUAAUUUCAACGUAUUUUCCUUUUGAAUUUCAUUGUUUCAAAGUUUUAGUAAGUACUGUUUAUGUUUGCUAUUUUUCAAUAACAACGUUGCACAUUUGUUUACAUAUGUAAGAAGAGUGUAUGUUUAACUAGCAUACAGCUGUUCGUAUUUCCAGGAGUCGUGUUCAAAUCAUAGCAUUUUUAUUUUAUCUACAAUGAAAUCGUUGGGCACAAUUAUAAACAAAAAAUUAUAAUUAUAAACAAAAAUAACCAGGUUUUAACUUUUAAUAACUCCUGAUGACACCAUCAGUAAAGUGUUUAUAACUGGUUAUAGGCUCACAUGCAGCUGCAUGACUUUGGAUCACAGGUGUAAAAUGUGAACUAAAUUAAUUUACACUACACAAAUGUCCCUCUGUGCGUAUGUGUGUGUGCGCGUGUGUAUGUGUGUGUGUGUGUGUGUGUGUGUGUGUGUGUGUGUGUGUGUAUGUGUGUGCGUUUUAGAUAGCUUAGAUACCGUGGUCCCUGUUUUCUCAGGCAGUGCAGGGUUCAUUUGGUGCUAGACAAAUUUCACUACUGUGGAAUUCAACCGUUUCUGUUUUUUCCUGUUUUACUCAUGAUUGUUCUUUCCUAUGUAUUUUCUGACACAUAUUUUUUGUGAUGAUUAUUUAAUACUAAAAUGUAGCUACUUUACUAUUUCAGAGAUUUCAGCCUAUUGGUGCAAAUUGCUUCAUCACCAUACUGCUAUGGUGCAGAUAUGCAUAUAUAUUCCAGUACUGUAUGUCUUUAGUUGCACAUGAUUGGUACAUAAUCUACAUUUUUUUGAUGGUGCUGAUUUGAUUACAACUGUUUAAAUGGUUAUGCAAAAAUAAAUUAAUCUUAUAACACAUGG